GACGGAGGAUGCAAGUGUUAUCCGGAAUCACUGGGCGUAAAGCGUCUGUAGGUGGUUCAAUAAGUCAACUGUUAAAUCUUGAGGCUCAACUUCAAAAUCGCAGUCGAAACUAUUGGACUCGAGUAUAGUAGGGGUAAAGGGAAUUUCCAGUGGAGCGGUGAAAUGCGUAGAGAUUGGAAAGAACACCAACGGCGAAAGCACUCUGCUGGGCCGACACUGACACUGAGAGACGAAAGCUAGGGGAGCAAAUGGG
rnacentral:rRNA from 1 species